rnacentral:rRNA from 1 species
ACUCCUACGGGAGGCAGCAGUAGGGAAUCUUCCACAAUGGGUGAAAACCUGAUGGAGCAAUGCCGCGUGAAUGAAGAAGGUCUUCGGAUCGUAAAGUUCUGUUAUUAGAGAAGAACAAGUCAAGGAGUAACUGUCUUGACUUUGACGGUACCUAACCAGAAAGUCACGGCUAACUACGUGCCAGCAGCCGCGGUAAU